UCUUAUGGGUGAGCAGAGAAAGUGGUUUCUUGAAAUGGAAUCUAUUCCUGUUGAAGAUGCUGUGAA
rnacentral:pre_miRNA from 1 species